UGGUCAAGUUAUUAAGGGUGCAGGGCGGAUGCCUUGGCACUAGGAGCCGAUGAAGGACGUGAUAAGCUGCGAUAAGCUUCGGGGAGUUGCACGUAAACUUUGAUCCGAAGAUUUCCGAAUGAGGAAACUCACUUAGAGUAAUGUCUAAGUAUCAUUAAGUGAAUACAUAGCUUAAUGAGGGGAACUCAGGGAACUGAAACAUCUAAGUACCUGAAGGAAGAGAAAGAAAUUCGAUUCCGUAAGUAGCGGCGAGCGAACGCGGAUUAGCCCAAACCAAUAAAGUUUUCUUUAUUGGGGUUGCGGACAUAUCAUAACGAAGAGGUAUCGUAAUUGAAGAGGUUUGGAAAGACCCACCACAGAAGGUAAUAGUCCUGUAUGUUAAACGAGAAGACUUCAGAUAUGAUCCAGAGUACCACGGGACACGUGAAACCCUGUGGGAAGCAGGAGGGACCACCCUCCAAGGCUAAAUACUACCUAGUGACCGAUAGCGUAUAGUACCGUGAGGGAAAGGUGAAAAGAACCCCGGGAGGGGAGUGAAAUAGAACCUGAAACCCUGCACUUACAAGCUGUGGAAGCACAUUUCUUGUGUGACCGCGUACUUUUUGUAGAACGGGCCAACGAGUUACGUUAAGUAGCAAGGUUAAGCACUUAAGGUGCGGAGCCGUAGCGAAAGCGAGUUUUAACUGAGCGUUCAGUUACUUGACGUAGACCCGAAACCGGGCGACCUACCCAUGAGCAGGAUGAAGCGAAAGUAAAAUUUCGUGGAGGUCCGAACCCACGAGCGUUGAAAAGCUCGGGGAUGACUUGUGGGUAGCGGUGAAAUUCCAAUCGAGCCCGGAGAUAGCUGGUUCUCCCCGAAAUAGCUUUAGGGCUAGCCUCAAGGUGAGAGAUACGGAGGUAGAGCACUGAAUGUCCUAGGGGGUAUUGCACCUACCGAAGACUAUCAAACUCCGAAUGCCGUCAUCUUAUACUUGGGAGUCAGACUGUGGGUGAUAAGAUUCAUAGUCGAAAGGGCAACAGCCCAGAUCGUCAGCUAAGGUCCCUAAAUGUAAGUUAAGUGGUAAAGGAUGUGGGAUUGCACAGACAACCAGGAUGUUGGCUUAGAAGCAGCCACUCAUUCAAAGAGUGCGUAAUAGCUCACUGGUCGAGUGAUCCUGCGCCGAAGAUUUCCGGGGCUAAAACUUACUACCGAAGCUACGGCAUCAGUAAUGAUGGGUAGGGGAGCUUCCCAUACGGGUUGAAGCAUGACCGUAAGGACAUGUGGACAGUAUGGGAGUGAGAAUGUUGGCAUGAGUAGCGAGAUGUGGGUGAGAAUCCCACAGGCCGUAAACCCAAGGUUUCCAGGGGAAGGUUCGUCCGCCCUGGGUUAGUCGGGACCUAAGCUGAGGCCGAAAGGCGUAGGUGAUGGACAACAGGUUGAUAUUCCUGUACUACCGAUAACCGUUUGAGAGAAGGGAUGACACAGUAGGAUAAGCUAAGCACACUGUUGGUUAUGUGUGCCCAAGCAUUGAGGCAGUCAAAGUAGGCAAAUCCGCUUUGAUAAUGCUGGGAUGUGAUGGGGAGCGAAAUUUAGUAGCGAAGUAGCUGAUUUCACACUGUCAAGAAAAGUCUCUAUCGAGGUUAAAGGUACCCGUACCGCAAACCGACACAGGUGGGUGAGGAGAGUAUCCUAAGGCCAGCGAGAGAACUGUUGUUAAGGAACUCGGCAAAAUGACCCCGUAACUUAGGGAUAAGGGGUGCCACCAUCAGGUGGCCGCAGAGAAUAGGCCCAAGCGACUGUUUACCAAAAACAUAGGUUUCUGCUAAGUCGCAAGACGAUGUAUAGGAGCUGACGCCUGCCCGGUGCUGGAAGGUUAAGGGGAUCUGUUAGAGCAAUCGAAGCAGUGAACUUAAGCCCCAGUAAACGGCGGCCGUAACUAUAACGGUCCUAAGGUAGCGAAAUUCCUUGUCGGGUAAGUUCCGACCCGCACGAAAGGCGUAACGAUUUGGGCACUGUCUCAACAACAGACUCGGUGAAAUUGUAAUUCCGGUGAAGAUGCCGGAUACCUGCGACAGGACGGAAAGACCCCAUGGAGCUUUACUGUAGCUUGACAUUGGGUCUUGGUACUACAUGUACAGGAUAGGUGGGAGGCUUUGAAACCAGGACGCCAGUUUUGGCGGAGCCAUCCUUGGGAUACCACCCUUGUAGUACUGGGACUCUAACCAUAGGCCAUGAAUCUGGUCUUGGGACACUGUCAGGUGGGCAGUUUGACUGGGGCGGUCGCCUCCCAAAAGGUAACGGAGGCGCUCAAAGGUUCUCUCAGUACGGUCGGAAAUCGUACGUAGAGUGUAAAGGCAAAAGAGAGCUUGAUUGCAAGACAUACAGGUCGAGCAAGGAUGAAAAUCGGACUUAGUGAUCCGGUGGUUCUGCGUGGAAGGGCCAUCGCUCAACGGAUAAAAGCUACCCUGGGGAUAACAGGCUUAUCUCCCCCAAGAGUCCACAUCGACGGGGAGGUUUGGCACCUCGAUGUCGGCUCAUCACAUCCUGGGGCUGUAGUAGGUCCCAAGGGUUGGGCUGUUCGCCCAUUAAAGUGGUACGCGAGCUGGGUUCAGAACGUCGUGAGACAGUUCGGUCCCUAUCCGUCGCAGGCGUAGGAAAUUUGAGAAGACCUGUCCUUAGUACGAGAGGACCGGGAUGGACGUACCUCUGGUU
rnacentral:rRNA from 1 species